GAUGAACGCUGGCGGCGUGCCUAAUACAUGCAAGUCGAGCGAACAGACGAGAGUGCUUGCACUCUCUGACGUUAGCGGCGGACGGGUGAGUAACACGUGGGUAACCUACCUAUAAGACUGGGAUAACUUCGGGAAACCGGAGCUAAUACCGGAUAAUAUUUAGCUUCGCAUGAAGCAAUAGUGAAAGACGGUUCUGCUGUCACUUAUAGAUGGACCCGCGGUGUAUUAGCUAGUUGGUGAGGUAACGGCUCACCAAGGCAACGAUACAUAGCCGACCUGAGAGGGUGAUCGGCCACACUGGGACUGAGACACGGCCCAGACACCUACGGGAGGCAGCAGUAGGGAAUCUUCCGCAAUGGACGAAAGUCUGACGGAGCAAUGCCGCGUGAGUGAAGAAGGUUUUCGGAUCGUAAAACUCUGUUGUAAGGGAAGAACAAGUACGUUAGUAACUGAACGUACCUUGACGGUACCUUACCAGAAAGCCACGGCUAACUACGUG
rnacentral:rRNA from 1 species